CGGAUCAGCAUGCCGCGGUGAAUACGUUCCCGGGCCUUGUACACACCGCCCGUCACACCACGAGAGUUUGUAACACCCGAAGUCGGUGAGGUAACCUUUUGGAGCCAGCCGCCUAAGGUGGGACAGAUGAUUGGGGUGAAGUCGUAACAAGGUAGCCGUAUCGGAAGGUGCGGCUGGAUCACCUCCUUUCUAAGGAA
rnacentral:rRNA from 1 species